AAUCUGCGAAUGGCUCAUUAAAUCAGUUAUUGUUUAUUUGAUGGUACCUUACUACUUGGAUAACCGUAGUAAUUCUAGAGCUAAUACAUGCGUCAAGCCUCGACUCUUCGGAGAAGGGGUGCAUUUAUUAGAUUCAAACCAUCGGGGCUGCUCCUUCACGGGGGUGGUCUCUUUGAUGGCGAGUCAUAAUAACUGAGCGAAUCGAAUGGCUUCACGCCGUCGAUGCUUCAUUCAAAUUUCUGCCCUAUCAGCUUUCGAUGGUAGGAUCUUGGCCUACCAUGGCGAUAACGGGUAACGGGGAAUUAGGGUUCGAUUCCGGAGAGGGAGCUUGAGAAACGGCUACCACAUCCAAGGAUGGCAGCAGGCGCGCAAAUUACCCAAUCCGACACGGGGAGGUAGUGACAAUAAAUAACAAUGCUGGACUAAUCUUAGUCCGGCAA
rnacentral:rRNA from 1 species